rnacentral:rRNA from 1 species
AACCAGCUCUUCAAGUGGUCGGGAUAAUUAUUGGGCUUAAAGUGUCCGUAGCCGGUUUAGUAAGUUCCUGGUAAAAUCGGGUAGCUUAACUAUCCGUGUGCUAGGAAUACUGCUAUACUAGAGGGCGGGAGAGGUCUGAGGUACUACAGGGGUAGGGGUGAAAUCUUAUAAUCCUUGUAGGACCACCAGUGGCGAAGGCGUCAGACUGGAACGCGCCUGACGGUGAGGGACGAAAGCCAGGGGAGCGAACCGGAUUAGAUACCCGGGUAGUCCUGGCUGUAAACGAUGCAUACUAGGUGAUGGUACGGCCAUGAGCCGUAUCAGUGCCGUAGGGAAACCGUUAAGUGUGCCGCCUGGGAGGUACGGUCGCAAGGCUAAAACUUAAAGGAAUUGGCGGGGGAGCACCACAAGGGGUGAAGCCUGCGGUUC